rnacentral:rRNA from 1 species
GAUGAACGCUGGCGGCGUGCUUAACACAUCCAAGUCGAACGGGAUCCAAGGGGUGCUUGCACUUUUUGGUGAGAGUGGCGACCGGGUGAGUAACACGUGAGUAACCUGUCCUUUUCUUUGGGAUAAGCAUUCGAAAGGGUGUUUAAUACCUUAUGUUCUGUCUGCCUCGCAUGGGGCGGGUGGGAAAGGCUUUGGCCGGAUUUGGGUGGGCUCGCGGUCUAUCAGCUUGUUGGUGGGGUGAUGGCUUACCAAGGCUUUGACGGGUAGCCGGCCUGAGAGGGGGGGAGGUAAGAUUGGGACGGAGAAACGGACCAGACUCCUGCGGGAGGCAGCAGUGGACGAAAUUGCACAAUGGGCGAAAGCCUGAUGCAGCGACGCCGCGUGGGCAAUGAAGGCUUUAGAGUUGUAAACUUAUUAUGCUCUGAACAAGGCAUGGCAGUGGGUGUGUUGAGUGUAGGGGUUGAUGAGCGCCGACUAGGUACGUG